rnacentral:rRNA from 1 species
UGGAUUAGGCAUGCAAGUCGAACGGAUGCUUAGCUUUUUCGAGCAUCAGUGGCGAAAGGGUGAGUAACACGUGGGAUACCUGCCCUCGAGUUCGGGAUAACCUAUCGAAAGAUGGGCUAAUACCGGAUACGUUCCUGUGCUUCCGAGCACAGGAGGAAAGAUGGGGACCUCUUCGGAGGCCUGUCACUCUUGGAUGGGCCCGCGGCCUAUCAGCUAGUUGGUGAGGUAAUGGCUCACCAAGGCGACGAUCGGUAGCUGGUCUAAGAGGACGGCCAGCCACACUGGGACUGAGACACGGCCCAGACUCCUACGGGAGGCAGCAGUAGGGAAUAUUGCCCUUUGGAGGAAACUCUGAUGCAGCGACGCCGCGUGAGUGCCNNNNNCCUUCGGGUUGUAAAGCUC